rnacentral:lncRNA from 1 species
CGAAGCUUAUGUGGUUUGCAGGCAGCUGGGCUGUGGGACACCACGCUCUGCCUCAAACUCUUCCCAGUUUGGGGAAGGACCUCAUCUGACCUGGGUUGAUGCUGUGGAGUGCACAGGGAUGGAGCGAGCCCUCUUUGAAUGCAAAGUCAAGCUCUGGGGAGCCCAGAACUGCAAGUCCAAGGGAUAUGCGAGUGUCGUGUGCUCUGAGGCUGUAGACAUAGACCUACGGAGCCCAGAAGCCAUACGGCUGGUGAAUGGCCC